AUUGAACGCUGGCGGCAUGCUUUACACAUGCAAGUCGAACGGUAACAGGCCUUCGGGCGCUGACGAGUGGCGAACGGGUGAGUAAUGCAUCGGAACGUGCCCAGUCGUGGGGGAUAACGCAGCGAAAGCUGUGCUAAUACCGCAUACGAUCUAUGGAUGAAAGCGGGGGACCGUAAGGCCUCGCGCGAUUGGAGCGGCCGAUGUCAGAUUAGGUAGUUGGUGGUGUAAAGGCUCAACAAGCAAACGAUCUGUAGCUGGUCUGAGAGGACGACCAGCCACACUGGACCUGAGACACGGUCCAGACUCCUACGGGAGGCAGCAGUGGGGGAUUGUGGACAAUGGGCGCAAGCCUGAUCCAGCAAUGCCGCGUGCAGGAAGAAGGCCUUCGGGUUGUAAACUGCUUUUGUACGGAACGAAACGGCGAGCUCUAAUACAGUUUGCUAAUGACGGUACCGUAAGAAUAAGCACCGGCUAACUACGUGCCAGCCGCCGCAGUAACAC
rnacentral:rRNA from 1 species